UACGUAGGGUGCGAGCGUUGUCCGGAAUUAUUGGGCGUAAAGAGCUCGUAGGCGGUCUGUCGCGUCGGUCGUGAAAACUUGGGGCUUAACCCUGAGCUUGCGGUCGAUACGGGCAUGACUGGAGUUCGGCAGGGGAGACUGGAAUUCCUGGUGUAGCGGUGAAAUGCGCAGAUAUCAGGAGGAACACCGGUGGCGAAGGCGGCCACCUGGACGGUCACUGACGCUGAGACGCGAAAGCGUGGGUAGCAAACAGG
rnacentral:rRNA from 1 species